GCCUGGGUGGCUCAGUCAGUUGAGCGUCUGACUUCAGCUCAGGUCAUGAUCUCAUGGUUCGUGAGUUCAAGCUCCCCAUCAGGCU
rnacentral:tRNA from 1 species